GCCUCGAUAGCUCAGUUGGUAGAGCAGCUGACUCUUAAUCAGCGGGUCGAAGGUUCGAGUCCUUCUCGAGGUACCA
rnacentral:tRNA from 1 species